AUUUGGGGAUAAAGUGGAGCAUAGGAGUUGAGGAGAGCUCCUCUCACAGGGGGUUGGGUUGCCGUGCCGAUUGGCUGCUGUUCAUAGACAUACAGUCACGGGCUUGCAACAGAACCAGGGGCAGGUCGACAGCAAGGAAACCAUAAUCAUUGAAAAUGAAAAGUACAACGUCCGUAUCGUAACCCAAGAGGUACGUUGUGACUCAGACAUCGCGCACUGGACAGGUUCCUCUCUGUCUGCGGCUGGGAUUUUCUUGAUCCACUUUCACAAUUUGAAAAAAAAGGUCAUUUCACGCGCACAAACGAAGAGUUUUCAAUAUCAGUGACAUUGGCCAACAUGUAAAUGGUAGGAAGCAGUGCCAUUAUGAUCCACCCACAUGUGCAUACUCUUAGUAACUGUACCUGUCCACAGGUGCCUGAUCCACUUGAAAGUACAUGGAAAACAUCACCAACCAGCAGACAGACACUUGGCUUUAACACUGGCCCUUCUUGUCUCAUCUGUCUAAGGGUUAAAGUCUAAGAGCAAAAGCUUACUCACUUAACGUCCGUAGAGAAGCCUUAACGAUCUGACCUUUGGGAUUUAGGACCUGCCUCUGCCUGACAGGGACCCACAAGGCUUAUGGGACAGUGCACACA
rnacentral:lncRNA from 1 species